rnacentral:rRNA from 1 species
GACGAACGCUGGCGGCGUGCUUAACACAUGCAAGUCGAACGGAAAGGCCCUGCUUUUGUGGUGUGCUCGAGUGGCGAACGGGUGAGUAACACGUGAGUAACCUGCCCUUGACUUUGGGAUAACUUCAGGAAACUGGGGCUAAUACCGGAUAGGAGCUCCUGCUGCAUGGUGGGGGUUGGAAAGUUUCGGCGGUUGGGGAUGGACUCGCGGCUUAUCAGCUUGUUGGUGGGGUAGUGGCUUACCAAGGCUUUGACGGGUAGCCGGCCUGAGAGGGUGACCGGACGCAUUGGGACUGAGAUACGGCCCAGACUCCUACGGGAGGCAGCAGUGGGGAAUAUUGCACAAUGGGCGGAAGCCUGAUGCAGCAACGCCGCGUGCGGGAUGACGGCCUUCGGGUUGUAAACCGCUUUCGCCUGUGACGAAGCGUGAGUGACGGUAAUGGGUAAAGAAGCACCGGCUAACUACGUG